AACCAGGCCGGCGAGCGAAUUUUUGGUGUGAAUUUUGGCGCGUUUGUGGAAAAUUAGAGAAAAAUGUUUCUCGUAGUUUUUUAUGCAUAAAAAACGUGAUUAUAAAUUGUUUGUGUUUUGUGUGAAUAAAGGAAAGCAAGAAACUAUGUGUAGUGUUUGAAAAGAAAUGAAGUGAAGCUUGCGAUUUGUUGGAUGCUGUGGCGUCUACUAAAAGGGCUGCUACUGCUUGGACAGAUUUAAGGUGCCCAAUCGAGCUGAAGCGAACAUACGUGCCGGAAGGAGAUUUUGUGGGCUUACAAACCAGGGAGCUUUCAACUCCCAUUACCCUCCAUGGCGUUAAGCUGAUUCGGGCUUGUUUUAUGUUUUAAUUCCUGAUUGGAAACGAUUCUGGGAAAUGUACAUUUUAGAGUGACCUACAUCCUUGUGUUUUGAAAAUGACGAAAACAUUACUUAUUGUGAUUGGUCUUAGAAUUGUACUUCAGACAUCAUCAGUAUGUAGAAAGCAUGAAUAAUUGUUAUCAAUUUAUUUAGAAUGACAUCAGAGGCAGUUAAACUGUCCAACAUGUCAGAGUGAAGUAGUAUUUAAUUGCACAGAAAAUUCAAUUCGACGACUCUCCUGUCCAGCGACCAACAACACGCCCAGCACUGUAGAUUCCCGUUCAUAAAAUGUAACCGCAUGUAAAACAAACCUAUCCCAUUGGCCAAUAUUCCCUCAGCUUGUGUGUGAUGAGGUUGAUAAAUCACAAUUAUCCUGCAACCUUGCAUGACUAGCACCCAUUUCCCACAAACCAACCCCUUUACGAUCGUUGCCAAUGUCUCAAGGGAACAUACCGUUGCACUACCUUGCAAUCCUACAGCACUACCGAUGCCAUCAUCACAUCAUCAUCAUUGCCGUCUUCAAGAGACCACACAGACGUGUGGCCGUUACGGAUUAGGGCCCAUCAAGACAUCUACGCAACCUUGACCGCGUGUGUGAGCCAGGUGUGCCGCCGUUACGUACCUUGGAGUGCAC